rnacentral:rRNA from 1 species
GAUUAACGCUAGCGGCAGGCAUAAUACAUGCAAGUUGAACGGGAUAAGUUGUAGCAAUACGACUUUGAGAGUAGCGCACGGGUGCGUAACACGUAUGCAAUCUGCCCCUAUCUGUGGAAUAGCCCCUCGAAAGAGGGAUUAAUACCACAUAAAAUAGUGAAUAGGCAUCUAUUUACUAUCAAAGCUCCGGCGGAUAGGGAUGAGCAUGCGGCUGAUUAGGUAGUUGGUGAGGUAAUGGCUCACCAAGCCAACGAUCAGUAGGGGGUCUGAGAGGAUGUCCCCCCACACUGGAACUGAGACACGGACCAGACUCCUACGGGAGGCAGCAGUAGGGAAUAUUGGUCAAUGGGGGAAACCCUGAACCAGCCAUGCCGCGUGCAGGAUUAAGGCCCUAUGGGUCGUAAACUGCUUUUGUACGGGAAGAAAUCACAUUACGUGUAAUGUGUUGACGGUACCGUGAGAAUAAGGAUCGGCUAACUUCGUGCCAGCCGCCGCAGUAACAC